rnacentral:rRNA from 1 species
GACGAACGCUGGCGGCGUGCCUAAUACAUGCAAGUCGAACGAGUGGCGGACGGGUGAGUAAUGUCUGGGAAACUGCCUGAUGGAGGGGGAUAACUACUGGAAACGGUAGCUAAUACCGCAUACCAUCGGAUGUGCCCAGAUGGGAUUAGCUAGUAGGUGGGGGAACGGCUAACCUAGGCGCCGAUCCCUAGCUGGUCUGAGAGGAUGACCGGCCACACUGGAACUGGGACACGGUCCAGACUCCUACGGGAGGCAGCAGUGGGGAAUAUUGCACAAUGGACGCAAGCCUGAUGCAGCCAUGCCGCGUGUGUGAAGAAGGCCUUCGGGUUGUAAAGUACUUUCGGCGGGGAAGCGGUACUCGCCGAAGAAGCACCGGCUAACUCCGUGCCAGCAGCCGCGGUAAUUC